GCUUACGGCCAUACCACCUUAGGCACGCCCGAUCUCGUCUGAUCUCGGAAGCUAAGCAGGGUCGGGGCUGGUUAGUACUUGGAUGGGUGACUGCCUGGGAAUACCAGGUGCUGUAAGCA
rnacentral:rRNA from 10 species